UGGGGAAUAUUGGACAAUGGGCGCAAGCCUGAUCCAGCAAUGCCGCGUGUGUGAAGAAGGCCUUCGGGUUGUAAAGCACUUUUAUCAGGAGCGAAACGCUGUCGGCUAAUACCCGGCGGAACUGACGGUACCUGAGGAAUAAGCACCGGCUAACUUCGUGCCAGCAGCCGCGGUAAUACGAAGGGUGCAAGCGUUAAUCGGAAUUACUGGGCGUAAAGCGUGCGUAGGCGGUUUCUUAAGUCUGCUGUGAAAUCCCCGGGCUCAACCUGGGAAUGGCAGUGGAUACUGGGAGGCUAGAGUGUGUCAGAGGGUGGUGGAAUUCCCGGUGUAGCGGUGAAAUGCGUAGAGAUCGGGAGGAACAUCGGUGGCGAAGGCGGCCACCUGGGACAACACUGACGCUGAGGCACGAAAGCGUGGGGAGCAAACAGGAUUAGAUACCCUGGUAGUCCACGCCCUAAAAGCGAUGCGAACUGGAUGUUGGUCUCAACUCGGAGAUCAGUGUCGAAGCUAACGCGUUAAGUUCGCCGCCUGGGGAGUACGGUCGCAAGACUGAAACUCAAAGGAAUUGACGGGGUCAUAGCUGUUUCC
rnacentral:rRNA from 1 species